GACGAACCGUGCGAACGUUGUUCGGAAUCACUGGGCUUAAAGGGCGCGUAGGCGGGCUGCUAAGUCAGGGGUGAAAGCCCACGGCUCAACCGUGGAAGUGCCUUUGAUACUGGCGGCCUGGAGGGAGGUAGGGGCGUGCGGAACUUCCGGUGGAGCGGUGAAAUGCGUAGAUAUCGGAAGGAACACCGGUGGCGAAAGCGGCGCGCUGGACCUCUUCUGACGCUGAGGCGCGAAAGCCAGGGGAGCAAACGGG
rnacentral:rRNA from 1 species